rnacentral:rRNA from 1 species
AGAGUUUGAUCAUGGCUCAGAACGAACGCUGGCGGCAUGCCUAACACAUGCAAGUCGAACGAGACCUUCGGGUCUAGUGGCGCACGGGUGCGUAACGCGUGGGAAUCUGCCCUUGGGUUCGGAAUAACAGCGAGAAAUUGCUGCUAAUACCGGAUGAUGACGUAAGUCCAAAGAUUUAUCGCCCAAGGAUGAGCCCGCGUAGGAUUAGCUAGUUGGUGAGGUAAAGGCUCACCAAGGCGACGAUCCUUAGCUGGUCUGAGAGGAUGAUCAGCCACACUGGGACUGAGACACGGCCCAGACUCCUACGGGAGGCAGCAGUGGGGAAUAUUGGACAAUGGGCGAAAGCCUGAUCCAGCAAUGCCGCGUGAGUGAUGAAGGCCUUAGGGUUGUAAAGCUCUUUUACCCGGGAUGAUAAUGACAGUACCGGGAGAAUAAGCCCCGGCUAACUCCGUG